rnacentral:rRNA from 1 species
UGGGGGAUAUUGCACAAUGGGCGCAAGCCUGAUGCAGCGACGCCGCGUGGGGGAUGAAGGCCUUCGGGUUGUAAACUUCUUUUGCUCUGAACAAGGCGCACUUUGGGGUGUGUUGAGUGUAGGGGUUGAUUAGCGCCGGCUAACUACGUGCCAGCAGCCGCGGUAAUACGUAGGGCGCGAGCGUUGUCCGGAAUUAUUGGGCGUAAAGGGCUUGUAGGUGGCUGGUUGCGUCUGUCGUGAAAGCUCAUGGCUUAACUGUGGGUUUGCGGUGGGUACGGGCUGGCUUGAGUGCAGUAGGGGAGGCUGGAAUUCCUGGUGUAGCGGUGGAAUGCGCAGAUAUCAGGAGGAAUACCGGUGGCGAAGGCGGGUCUCUGGGCUGUUACUGACACUGAGGAGCGAAAGCAUGGGGAGCGAAC